UUUCUUCUCUAUUACACUAUAUCAUUUUAUGCUGGUAGUUUACCAUCUUGGUCAUUUCAUAUAUGCCGUUAUUUGUAAGCAUUUAUCUUGCUGUGGAUUGAGGGUUCGGGCUAGAAUUUAAUUUGGUGGCUUCUGACCUGUAACUUCUCCUGUUAUGUUUAACUUUGAAAUGCUUUCAAACAAUUUGGCUUGUGAGAUAUAAAUUAAUCGCCUUUUUUCGUUCUGGGUCUGAUUACUGAGCCAAGAGGGAAAAAAAAGAAAGAAUCUCAGCACCGAUUAAACUCAUUUUUACUACUGCUUCCGUUGGUACAGCCAGAGAGGAACUCAAACAUUCUCUCCCGAUCUAUUAUUUCAAGAUGGAAUUGAACUGCUUGGACAAUUUGAAUGAUAACGUUCAUCAUUCAAAUGGUAAAAUUCCAUUGCAAAAUGCAGAGCCUAAUUCUAGAAUGCUCUACCUAAUAUUUUCCAAUAAAUGUUGUAUUUGAAAUUUUAGAUUUGAUUAAAAAUAAGGAGUAACCACCACCCUCUUGUUAGAGCUUAAAUGUGAGGUGUGAGAAAGUGGUCAAAAAUUGUGGAAUAAAACUGUUGUGUGGAUAAAUGGUGCAUGAGAUCUUGUGAGGUGCUUGCUUUAGCAGUAUUAUGCUGCAAAUUUAUUGUAUUUGAUAACUUGUAUCAUUGAAUCAGCAUGUUCAAGCUAAUGCUCAUUACGAGCGAAUGUUCACUUCUCUCAUUUAAUGUGGAAUUAGGGUUUAAAAAUAGAAUGAAAUAUCUUUAGUUUUUCUAAGUGGUAAUUUGGGCUUGGGUGCAGGUGAGUUUGAGCGAGUAGCAGGACACACAUCAAAAGUAAAAGUGCACACAUAUGGCACACAGUUUGUUAUUACUGGAUUCAACUAUUUGUUUUUGUGCAACUGGUGCUGAAAUUUGCAUAUUUUGUAAUGUAUAAAGUUACAGGUGAUUUGGGCGAGCGACCCAGUUUCACAACGGAGGGGAGGAG
rnacentral:misc_RNA from 1 species